rnacentral:rRNA from 1 species
UCCUACGGGAGGCAGCAGUGGGGAAUAUUGGGCAAUGGAGGGAACUCUGACCCAGCAACGCCGCGUGAGUGAAGAAGGUUUUCGGAUUGUAAAACUCUUUAAGCGGGGACGAAGAAAGUGACUGUACCCGCAGAAUAAGCAUCGGCUAACUACGUGCCAGCAGCCGCGGUAAUACGUAGGAUGCAAGCGUUAUCCGGAAUGACUGGGCGUAAAGGGUGCGUAGGUGGUUUGUCAAGUUGGCAGCGUAAUUCCGUGGCUUAACCGCGGAACUACUGCCAAAACUGAUAGGCUUGAGUGCGGCAGGGGUAUGUGGAAUUCCUAGUGUAGCGGUGGAAUGCGUAGAUAUUAGGAGGAACACCGGUGGCGAAAGCGACAUACUGGGCCGUAACUGACACUGAAGCACGAAAGCGUGGGGAGCAAACAGGAUUAGAUACCCUGGUAGUCCACGCCGUAAACGAUGAAUACUAGGUGUAGGGGGUAUCGACUCCCUCUGUGCCGUCGCAAACGCAUUAAGUAUUCCGCCUGGGGACUACGACCGCAAGGUUGAAACUCAAAGAAAUUGACGGGGACCCGCACAAGCAGCGGAGCAUGGGGUUUAAUUCGACGCAACGCGAAAAACCUUACCAGAACUUGACAUCUAGUGAAGAACCUUGUAAUGAGGUUCGUCCCUUCGGGGACACGAAGACAGGUGUUGCAUGGUUGUCGUCAGCUCGUGUCGUGAGAUGUUAGGUUAAGUCCUGCAACGAGCGCAACCCUCAUAUACAGUUGCCAAUAUUAAGUUAGGAACUCUGUAUAGACUGCCGUGGUCAACACGGAGGAAGGUGGGGAUGACGUCAAAUCAUCACGGCCCUUACGUUCUGGGCCACACCCGUGCUACAAUGGCUAUUACAAAGAGCAGCGAGAUAGUAAUAUUAAGCGAAUCUCAUAAAGAUAGUCUCAGUUCAGACUGUGGGCUGCAACUCGCCCACACGAAGUAGGAGUUGCUAGUAAUCCCGAAUCAGCAUGUCGGGGUGAAUGCGUUCCCGGGUCUUGUACACACCGCCCGUCACGCCAUGGGAGUUGGGAGUGCCCAAAGUCAGUGUCCUAACCGCAAGGGGGGAGCUGCCUAAGGCAAUACCGAUGACUGGGGUGAAGUCGUAACAAGGUAGCCGUAUCGGAAGGUGCGGCUG